rnacentral:sRNA from 14 species
ACUGGUCUUCAGUCAAGGGUAAACGAGUAGCUGCACUACCAUGCUAGAACCUCCAAACAAGCUCUCAAGGUCCAUUGUAGGAAUGUAGAGUAGUCAAGC